rnacentral:rRNA from 1 species
CCACACGACUCUUGGCAACGGAUAUCUCGGCUCUCGCAUCGAUGAAGAACGUAGCGAAAUGCGAUACCUGGUGUGAAUUGCAGAAUCCCGCGAACCAUCGAGUCUUUGAACGCAAGUUGCGCCAAGCCAUUUGGCGAAGGCACGCCUGCUUG